rnacentral:ncRNA from 1 species
CCAGGGGUAUCCGACUCUAACACAAAGCAUCGCGAAGGCCCGUGUUGGGUGUUGACAUGAUGCUAAUCUGCCCAGUGCUCUGAAUGUCAAAGUGAAGAAAUUCAAUGAAGCGCGGGAAAAAGGCAGAAAUAUCUAUGACUUUUUAAGUCAUAAUGAGGGAACUCUUAAAUACGAGUAAAAGGUGGGAGUAUCUAUGACUCUCGUAAGACCC